GAACCGAUCGGGAGAUGCCGGUAAAAGAAGUUGCUGAAAGCCAAGCUGGAAUGGGCAGGAGCUGCGCGCCGCCGGCCCCGUCACACAGCGGAGCAGCUGAACUUUGUGGGGUCUGAAAAAUUUUCUCCUCUGCGAACGCUCUGGGCAGGGCUGACCGGAGAGCCAGGACCGCACCGCAUACCUUGCGCCUGACCGAGCCUGGGGCACAGCCGAGGGGGGAUUUCUGUCUCUCCAAGGACCAUCGCCUCUGAAAAAAAAAGAAAAAAAGCUGGAGAAGGGCAAUUUAUCUUUCUUUUCCAGAUGACUGAAAAUAUCUACAGGAUCCUGUCUCUCCGGUUGUCAUCUGUGAGUAGCAUAAGUGAGAGGCGGCUGAGGAACAAAAAUGAUAUCGGUCAAAAUCAUUCCAGCACCUACUUUUUCCUAAGGAACUUCAUGCCCGUAGGGGUUUUCUGCGGGCAUUUGCAGGAGUGAGACCGAGGUACCACAGAUGCAUCCCUAUCGGAUCAUGUAAGAAUUUGCAAAUGAGAAACAUACCCCAUCCAGACCUUCUGUGCCCGCUUUGCAGUACAUGGUUUGGUGUAAGCACAGCAAUUCUCACCUCUUUCUCUCCCUUUUAAGUCUCUUGAGCUUGGAGACCUCUUUCCUCAUUGCAAUUAUGAUUAUUUGCAACAUCAGUGCCAUCAAAGAUUGGAGCACUUUCCUUUCCCAAAUCCUCCCCAGCGUUAACAAGACUCUGAACUUGGUACAGCAAGUGGAAGCCAUCACCAGCUCGGUGGUAAGUGUCCUCCAGGACCCCGAACAGGACAACUACCUGUCCAAUAGCCAGUCCAUGAACUCCAGCAACUUCACAGCUGGCCUGGACCACUUGUUCCAGUACUCAUACUCGGACAAUGACCAGCUCUACAAGGAGUACAAACCCCCUCCUCGAGAUGCCAUUCCUCUGCCCAAGGCUGUCCUCUACCUCCUCAUGGCAGCCCUGGUGGUGGUGGCAGUGGCAUACGCCAUCGUCGGGCAUCUCAUCAAGGACCUCAUUUACGACUUUGUAGACUGGAUCUUUGGCCCCAGCCCGGAUGACAACAGCAACAAGAGCGACAUCAACUGCAUCAGCAACAGCGUCAACGAGAUGAGCGAGAUGCCCGAGGCGGCGCGGCACCGCGAGCGCCAGCCCCAGGACGUGGUCAUUGCCAUCAGCGAGACCUGCCACCUGCCACAGCAGACGUGACCAGCAGCAGGAGGGAGCAGCAGGAGGGAUGGAGCAGAGGGAUGCAGCAGUGGGACAGCGCAGCAGCCACCUUGCAGGACCGGGCAGGGAGAGGAAGGGAUGGGCAGACCUGGCACCAUGGAGCAAAGCUCUUCCCCCCUGGUUUUACCAGCCUCUAAGGACCUUGCCAGGGUGGGUGGCAUCACCCCUUCUCCCAGGCUUGUCAGCCCUGUCCUGACAUCUGCCCUUGGGUUUGUGACCCCCUCUUUGUUCCCUGUGAAUAGCAAAAAAGAAAAAGCAAAUGCAAAAUACACCCACCGAACAAAGCUUGCAAGAGAAAUGAGCUGGAGAGAGGCCGGGCGCUCUGUCCAGUGGUGUGGGAAUGGGGUGGGAAAAAGGGCAGAGGAGACAAGGAGGCUGCAGAGAAAUGUGUUUGUCUGCAUUUCUGGGGACAGGCCCAGGACACAGCAGGGAGCUGGGAGCUGCAGAAAGGCACAGGUUAUAGUGAUGUGCCACAGAGCCAGUCCUGAGAAAAGGCCAUGGUCCAGACUUCUGCCUCUGCGUUCAGGGAGACAAGUCCUGACUUUUCCCAGCCUGCAGUACCCAGAACACCACAAAUAGCAGGGGCCAGAACAGGAAUUUUCCCCUUCUGAAAGUGGUUAAGGAAAAUGAAUGUGGUUUCAAACUCCUGUUCCAACAGCUUUAAAUGAGAGCCAUUACCAGCAGUCCCACGCUGGGGCUUUGUUGGCUUUUCAGCAAGCCAAGGUGGAGGACAGGAGCUCGGACCUCCUCCCCAUAAUUAACCAUUUCCGGUCAGACAGGGUUCUGCCACCGUCAUUUUUCUCUGUGUUUUCAGUGCUGGGUUUGUAGCGUGGCAGCUCUGGCACCUGCCAGGCUUCCCCUGUGCUGCUGGGCAGCGAUGCCCUGGCAGCACCAGGGGGAUGCCGGGGACGAUCCCAGGAAACUGUCACCCCCUGGGAAUGAGGGAAUUAGGCUGCAGCAUCGGAGCUGGCUGUGGGCUGGGGAAACUGGGGAGGUCCAGAUUCCUGGGGGACAGGAGGAUGUGCAGGGAGGGGCUGGUUUGCUUGCUCCCCUGCUCUUUCAGCAUCAGCAGGCUGGAGGGACAGCGGGGUCACCCAGGUGCCUCUGAUCACCGCUCGGGAGGGACAGUGAGACACUGUGUCUCACCCUGGCACUGCCAUGGCCCCUGCCAUGGGGACAUGCCACUCACUGGGCACCCCUUAUCCCCCCACGGCCGCAGCAACAACCCAGCGACUCAUCUGCACUGCAGCCCCAUCACCCAUCUGCUGCUGGAAAUGAGGUGGAGGCUUCCCUGAGCAGGGAGGCAGCCACCUCCACUCCAGCGGGCUCUUGCUCCCUUCCUGAGACAUUCGGGGUCCCACACGGCGUGGUUUGAUCCCAGGAGAUGCUCCUGC
rnacentral:lncRNA from 12 species